rnacentral:sRNA from 1 species
GCCUGUCGCCAUGGCUGGUGGAGGAGACCUUCACCAUAGAUGAAGUCUCUGAAGUCCUCAAUGGAUUACAAGCUGUGGUUCAUAGCGAGGUGGAAUCUGAGCUCAUCAACACUGCCUAUACCAAUGUGUUACUUCUGCGACAGCUGUUUGCACAAGCUGAGAAGUGGUAUCUUAAGCUACAGACAGACAUCUCUGAACUUGAAAACCGAGAAUUAUUAGAACAAGUUGCAGAAUUUGAAAAAGCAGAGAUUACAUCUUCAAACAAAAAGGAUUUUAUAAAGGCCCAAGACUUGAGUAACUUGGAAAACACUGUCGCUGCUUUAAAGAGUGAGUUUCAGAAGACACUUAAUGACAAGACAGAAAACCAGAAGUCACUGGAGGAGAAUCUGGCAACAGCCAAGCACGAUCUACUCAGGGUUCAGGAGCAGCUGCACAUGGCUGAAAAGGAAUUAGAAAAGAAAUUUCAGCAAACAGCAGCUUAUCGAAACAUGAAAGAGAUUCUUACCAAGAAGAAUGACCAAAUCAAAGAUCUGAGGAAAAGACUGGCACAAUAUGAACCUGAAGAUUAAAACUGAAGAUUUCAUCGGGAAGCUACAACAUGCAAA